rnacentral:rRNA from 1 species
UACAGAGGUCUCAACCGUUGUUCGGAUUCAUUGGGCGUAAAGGGUGCGUAGGCGGUCGCGUAAGUCAGGUGUGAAAUCCCGGGGCUCAACCCCGGAACUGCACUUGAUACUGCGUGGCUAGGGUACUGGAGAGGAGACUGGAAUUUACGGUGUAGCAGUGAAAUGCGUAGAUAUCGUAAGGAAGACCAGUGGCGAAGGCGAGUCUCUGGACAGUUACCGUCGCUGAGGCACGAAGGCCAGGGGAGCAAACGGG